AUAGAUAGAUAGAUAGAUAGAUAGAUAGAUAGAUUAGUUAUUAGUUAGAAAGAACAUAGAUAGCUUAAAGCUUAAUUGAGUAUCAAUGGCUUCUAGCAGUUUACAUUAAACAUAGUUCAAACAGACAUGGACUUUUGGUCAAUGAAAGUCUAUGGGACUUUUUAUGAUUUUUAAUAUUAAUUUUUAAGAAAACCGUAACUCAAACCAGUCUGAAAAGAUAUAGCACACUAAGUCAGAACAGUAGGAAGAUCUGACCCGAGUUUGGAGUAUGUAGCUUGAACGGUCUAGGAGGAGUUAGUGUCCAAAAAAUUUGCGGUCAGAAAAAUAAGAAGAAGAAGAAGAAGAAGAAGAAGAAGAAGAAGAAGUUUAAAUAGGAUUUCAGUAAGUUGGCUUUCCCAAGCCAACUUAAUUAAAACAAAAAAGAACUCCAGAUGAACUUGUUGGGAAGUGCUGUCUGUCAAUGUCCCAGAAGCUCUUCAUCAGCAGUAAACGUCAAAUGUCAUGAAUGUCAGAACAGCAUCUCUCCACAGUAUGUGUGAACGGAAAUAUUCCAAAGAGGCAGGGAAGAAAAAACAAAAACAAUUGUUACAAAACAUUAUAAAUGGUUCAGUUGAGUAAAAGCAAUAGACAGUUACAGUCCAAAGUUAUGUUAAUGUUAAUAAUUUAAGCAGUAAGAGGGUAGAGGGGUAGAAUCAUUUUUAAAAAAAUGCAAUUUCUGCUCUGAUAAAGCAGUUUAUUCUGCAAGGUGUAUGUAAACUUGUGAGCACAUCUGAAUCACCUAAGAGGUGAAUUACCUCAAUCAUCAGGGCAACAUCAUAGUAGUGCUGGAGAUGUUCCUUCACAUUUCCCACAAACACCACAAUUCCUGACCACACCAUCUUUACUGACACUAGACUUUAAAAAUAGACAACAUUUUUACAAACAUUCUAUUUCUACUUUACAUGGAUUAAAACAUAAUUAUCAAUUACCCAAAUAUAUCCCAAAAUCCAUGAAAAUUAAGAAAGAUACCUUCAUUUUUUUUUCUCAUCUUGCCGUGUAAGCUUCUCUCGCACAUUUUCAUGAAGAAUGUUCCUGUAUUUAUCAUGGCUGGCACAACAAAGCUGAACCCCCUUCCUUGGGUUUGUUACCUGUAAAAUAUAUGAUGAUUAGUGGUGGAUCUGUAAAUGCACAGGUUGGAAUAUAUUACUCGCAAGUGGAAAAGAUUCACCUCAUUUAAAAUCCAUAGGUAUAGUGACUUUAUUGCACUUUUAACUGGUAAUGUGUGAUCAGGGUGAGCUGACUGGACAACAAUUCAUCACAAAACUAACAUCACCUCUUCAGUACUGGUCUGUGUUUCCACACUGUAUCUCCAGUAACAAAUCUUUACUGAUCCUGCAAAAUAAAUGAAUAACUCCAGAUAGCUACAAAAAUAUUACAUAUUACAAACACAAACCACUCUUCAUAUACAAAAAGCAAAAUACAACAUAAUUUCUAGAGGUGGCUGAUAUAUUGAAUAUUACUGGUGAUUAUAAUACAAGGUUGUUGGUGCAGACACAAGAUCGGAUCUUUGAAUUUUGUUCAGUCGCAUUAAAUUGAAUUUUAAAUUGUUUAUUUAAAAUAAAACAUAAUAUUUUCAGCAGCCAAAUUUCUUGGUCCACACACACAAUCACUUUCCAUCUUUUAUAGUUUUAGUCUAGUUGUAGUCGAUGAAAAGUCACUGCAUUUUUGUCAAAUUUUAGUCAUUACUUUUAAUCAAACUGCAGUUACUAACAUUUAUUUUGGUAGCUAUAAUCAUUAAUUUUUUAGACCAAAUCAAAGCUUAUGAUAAAUUUGAAUCAAGGAUUGAAUUUGGGAAAACUUGAAUAUAUUAUGACAAUUUUCUUUUUUGGGUGAACUAUCCCUUUAACAGUAUGGAAAAAGGAGUACUUAUUAUACUUGAAGACAUGUAUGUAAUACUGACACACAUUCAAUUUUUACCCACCUGUUUACGUUCACUUAAGCCAUAACUUACAUAAUGUACGUGAGAUACUCACAUUUGGACUACUGCGUGUGCAUUUUUUCAAUGUCCGUUCAUCCUCAAAUAAUGUAGAUGAUGACUUUAAAACAGCCAUUAAAGCCUUUGUCCAAUUUACUUCAGUUUCUCUACUUCAGACAUCUUAAUUAUAGAUUUUAGUAGGAACUACUUUGUGCGGAAACACUUAACACUUGUUUUGUUUUGUUUUAUUUUUAUUUAUUUUUUUGCUUUGCUGUUUUAUUUGUUUAACGACUGUUACCAAAAAAAAAUAAAUAAAUAAAUAAAUCACUUGUUUUAGAUAGUGCCUGGUUUGUGCAAAUGCAACAGGAAAACAGCUCGAGGGGGAAAUUUGUUUUUUCUAGAAAACACCAUGAUGGCUACUUCCUACAAAUGAGUUCUUACAGCAAAUGUUAUGCGCUGUGAAAGCACCUAAUGCAUUAUUAGUUAAUUAGUUAAUAGCUUUAAAAAAAGAUAAAACCCUUGACAGCUCAUUAUUAAUAUUUUAUCUUCUUAUAUCACACACAUGAUUUUAGCUACUCUUUAGUUUGACAUUGUGAAAUAGUAGUGGUCAAAGAUACAUAAUGCAUAAAAAUGCUUAAAAAUCCUACAUGGGUCAUACAGGCCAUAAUAGACUAUAGUAUUUCAUAAAUCUGAAUAGCGUGACCCAUGAAGGAGUAAUUAUAAUAAUCAAUAAUGUCAUUAAUUCAGGACAAGCUGAAGGUUUAUGGUUUCACUCUCAUAUAAUGAAGACAUGAAUUAUACAGUAACACGUCUCUUCACAUCAACUGCACUGAAACACUGAUGAUGAAACACAAACUGCACAAGUUCAUUUAUCAUUUCUGUGAUGUGAAGUUCAAGUACGAUGUGAUGAUGAUGUUUGGUUUAUAUGUCCAUUAUCACAGAUCCAGCUGCUGGACCAAUAUUCAGAGUGAUUGUGAUUAUUGUUGAGUUUGCAGUGUUUGCUGCUCCUACUGUGAUUCUUCUUCAGAUCAUCUGUGCAAGAAGAGCUGGGAGGAAGAACUGACAGCACUGAGAGGAAAUAGUGAAUAAAAUACUCUCUAAUAAUAAAAGGCCAAAUUACAGCAAAAAUGUAUCUUCAUCUCAAUGAUGUUAUGAAUAUUUUCAUGCAGCUUUCAAGGAUGUUUGUUUAUACAUAUAAUAUCUGGCCAUUUUCUAAACUUGAUUCAUCUGAUCGUUACAUUAAACAUUUUAAGACUUUUUCCAUGUUGUAAUAGUUGAUAUUAAAUGUGUCACACCCCUGUGGACUGUUUAGUUUGGUUUCUCCCUCUUGUGCCCAUAUUUGGUCGUUCCUGUUUCCUGUCCUCGUUUAGUCAUCAUUAGUUAACCUUGUAUCACCUGUGCCUUAAUUUAGUUUAUUGUUAUCACCUGUCUUUAUAAGUUGCAUUCUGUUCAGUGUUUGGAGUCCGGUCACGUCUAUGUUAACGUCAGUGCAUGCGUGUUUUCUUCCUACUGUGGGUUUAUCUGUUUUGGAUUUACCUGUGGAAUA